rnacentral:lncRNA from 1 species
CUGAAUGCUAGUUUUCUUACAGUUCGACUCUUCAGCCGCAGCUUAAAUAUGAAUGUUAUCAGCUGUUGAUCCAACUAGAAGUCCAUGAAUAAACAGGUGAAUGGACUGGUUCUCUACAUCCAUCCACAUUAAUUUAAUCACUCCACUUAAUAAAAGGAAUAACACACAACAAAUAAAUUGUGGAACACGAAAGAUGCCCGAUUCACCUAAAAAGACUACAGGAGGAUCCACUUAAUAUAGGAAAUAACCAAUACAAAGUCCGAAAUUUCAGUCAGCUUAUUCAGCACACUUUUUCCUAACGUUCACUAUAACGACUCGAUUACACAUCUGAAAGCUCAUCAUACCAUGGAAACUAUCCCU